AAAGACCCCGUGAACCUUUACUAUAGCUUGACACUGAACAUUGAGCCUUGAUGUGUAGGAUAGGUGGGAGGCUUUGAAGUGUGGACGCCAGUCUGCAUGGAGCCGACCUUGAAAUACCACCCUUUAAUGUUUGAUGUUCUAACGUGGACCCGUAAUCCGGGUUGCGGACAGUGUCUGGUGGGUAGUUUGACUGGGGCGGUCUCCUCCUAAAGAGUAACGGAGGAGCACGAAGGUUGGCUAAUCCUGGUCGGACAUCAGGAGGUUAGUGCAAUGGCAUAAGCCAGCUUGACUGCGAGCGUGACGGCGCGAGCAGGUGCGAAAGCAGGUCAUAGUGAUCCGGUGGUUCUGAAUGGAAGGGCCAUCGCUCAACGGAUAAAAGGUACUCCGGGGAUAACAGGCUGAUACCGCCCAAGAGUUCAUAUCGACGGCGGUGUUUGGCACCUCGAUGUCGGCUCAUCACAUCCUGGGGCUGAAGUAGGUCCCAAGGGUAUGGCUGUUCGCCAUUUAAAGUGGUACGCGAGCUGGGUUUAGAACGUCGUGAGACAGUUCGGUCCCUAUCUGCCGUGGGCGCUGGAGAACUGAGGGGGGCUGCUCCUAGUACGAGAGGACCGGAGUGGACGCAUCACUGGUGUUCGGGUUGUCAUGCCAAUGGCACUGCCCGGUAGCUAAAUGCGGAAGAGAUAAGUGCUGAAAGCAUCUAAGCACGAAACUUGCCCCGA
rnacentral:rRNA from 2 species